rnacentral:siRNA from 1 species
GUAUCUUACACCCGCCUAAAUAG